CACUGGGACUGAGACACGGCCCAGACUCCUACGGGAGGCAGCAGUGGGGAAUUUUCCGCAAUGGGCGGAAGCCUGACGGAGCAACCGCCGCGUGUGGGAAGAAGGCUCUUGGGCUGUCAACCACUUUUCUCAGGGAAGAAGUCCUGACGGUACCUGAGGAAUCAGCCUCGGCUAACUCCGUGCCAGCAGCCGCGGUAAUACGGAGGAGGCACGCGUUAUCCGGAAUUAUUGGGCGUAAAGCGUCCGCAGGGGGCGCAUCAAGUCUGCUGUUCAAGGUCGGAGCUAAACUCCGGUAGAGCAGUCGUAAACUGGUGCGUUAGAAGGUCAACAGGGGUUAGAGGGAAUUCCCAGUGUAACGGUGAAAUGCGUAGAGAUGGGGAAGAACACCGGUGGCGAAAGCGCUCUACUGGGUCGCACCUGACCCUCAGGGACGAAAGCUAAGGUAGCGAAAGGGAUUAGAUACCCCUGUAGUCUUAGCCGUAAACGAUGGAUACUAGGCGUGGUUUGUAUCGACCCAAGCCGUGCCGAAGCUAACGCGUUAAGUAUCCCGCCUGGGGAGUACGCACGCAAGUGUGAAACUCAAAGGAAUUGACGGGGGGCCCGCACAAGCGGUGGAGGAUGUGGUUUAAUUCGAUGCAACGCGAAGAACCUUACCAGGGCUUGACAUCCCGCGAAGUUUGGGGAAACUCAGACGUGCCUACGGGAACGCGGAGACAGGUGGUGCAUGGCUGUCGUCAGCUCGUGUCGUGAGAUGUUGGGUUAAGUCCCGCAACGAGCGCAACCCUCGUCCUUAGUUGCCAGCAUUAAGUUGGGCACUCUAGGGAGACUGCCGGUGACAAACCGGAGGCAGGUGAGGAUGACGUCAAGUCAGCAUGCCCCUUAUGCUCUGGGCAACACACGUCCUACAAUGGUCGGGACAAAGGGGAGCGAGCUCGCGAGAGUAAGCGAAUCCCAGCAAACUCGGCCUCAGUUCAGAUAGCAGGCUGCAACUCGCCUGCUUGAAGGAGGAAUCGCUAGUAAUCGCAGGUCAGCAUACUGCGGUGAAUUCGUUCCCGGGCAUGUACACACCGCCCGUCACACCAUGGAAGCUGGCCAAGCCCGAAGUCGUUA
rnacentral:rRNA from 1 species